AAAAGAUGAUGCUGUGAAAGUGCUGCACUCAAUAUGCCAGCAAAUAUGGAAAACUCAGCAGUGUCCACAGGACUGGAAAAGGUCAGUUGUUACUAACUUUCAAAAAAACCUCAGUUGAAGUUGAGAAAUCACCAGGAAGCCAGGCUGCUGCUGACCUUAGCUGCCUGCAGUACUGAAAGGGGGGUUCUUGGGAGGAUGCUCAGGAGCCCACACCUAUCUCCAUGCCCAACGCCCACACACCUGGUAGUAGCUACUUACUGAUAGAGAAGAAUGGUCUUUACUUCUCCCUUCAGGUGAUUGAAUCUCUCAAUGGCAGGUUCUACCAAGUACCAUACUGGCAAGGGAGGCUGAGAAAUGUAGUUUCCAAGCUGUCAGCACUUGUGGUUCAGAGGGACACUUAGAAGGACAAAGAUGGUACUUACAGAGUCCCGACAAGAAAUUUCUAGUACACGUGCUCCUUGUUUUUCCCAGAGGAAAUUCAGGUGGUCACUCUUCUCUCUUGAAAACUCCUUAAGGUUAGAUCUUAAUCAAUUCUCUAUCCCCAGGGCUAGACUGAACCAGACAAUAAAUUGUUCUGAGUUGAUGUGAAUGGAAUGACAACAGGAUGAAUAGCCAAGAAGAAAGUUGUCCCCCUUUUAAGCUGGAUUUCAAGGUCUCCUGUUCCUAGAAUCUGAUGAUUCUCCCUAAUGACUGCCUUAGAUUCUGCCCCCGCUUAAGUCAUUUUCCUUCCUAACCUGCUCAGAGUGAUCAUGAGAGAUGUUUGCUCAAGUGACUGGAAGCUUGAGUUCUAGGUCCUGUCUGCACAGUGAAGAGAAGGAUUUGAAAAUAGUCUGUUUUAUUGGAUCCAUGGAGAUUGUCAAUUACAUAUUUUUUUGCUUUAAACUGCAUUAUCAAGUUGGUUGUGUAAAGUUAGUCAAGGUAUUUCUAUAUUUUAUUCAUCUGGUUCUAAACAGAAUCUUCAUGUCCUACCAGAGUUGGGGUCUCUUUGGAAAUGUGGAGUUUAUGAUUCACCUUGGGAUAGAAUUUGGAGUAUUCAAAAUGAAAAAGGAAUGGGGUGGGUUUGGGUGUUUGGAAAGCCUGUUCAGCUGUAAGAAAAGGAUAUUCAGUAAAGAGGGGACCUGGUGUGAUUUCCUCUGAAAAGGCACAGAGUUAAAACUCUAUGAAAGAUUAAAGACAUCCUCUUGAAAUUUAUUUUUCUCAGUGAAAAAUGGGUAAGACUAUUGUGCCUAUGGUAAAAAUAAUGGCAGGGUGACUCAGACUUAUUUACAACCAUCAAAGAAAUGAAAGAUAUGGAUCAUGUCACUAAUUAAUCUUUUUAUCAUUAUCAAGUGGUGACUGUAUCCAGCUAAAGAGUGCUGUGUGCAUAAUAGCACAAUUAUGGGGGAUGUGAUGAUGUAACAGCCGCUAGUGCCCAGCAUUUAGCCUCUCUUUUCCAUUCCCACCCACCCUGGUUUCUGGCUAUAUUUAGUUGUUUUACACAGUGUACCUGGACCAAAGUCUGUUUUACAAAAUUAAAAGAGUAGAGAGAAGAGUCAGAGUCUUCAUAGAAAAAUCAGGCUUCAUGAUGUUUAUUUCCCUUGAUUACCCAUGUUCCUUCUUGGUUAAUGUAUUUUCUCCUAUGUUGCACCUAGAAUCAUGACUGAAAUACAAUCAUGAGUUUACUUUGUGUAAAGGGAAGUAGGGCAUUGAGCAAUCACCUAAUGAAUACAGUCAAGAUGGUUAGUGAAUCUGGAAAAUUCCACUCUCAAAAAAAUUACUUUCUCUACUCCAUAGCAGAUUUCCUCUUGGCCUUAAUUAUCCACAGAGUUGUCCAAUUUUCUGAUAGUCUUUACUGUUGUUGACAUCACCUUAAUAAUUUAUUUAAUGGAUUUCACUGGGUUCAUUUGGGAGCCCUUUCUUCUUAGUGGCUUCUUUUAUCAAUUAAUUUAUGUAUUCAAUAAACAUUGAACACUGUUCCAGUUAUCUAUUGCUGUGUAAUAAGCUACCCUAAAACCUAGUGACUUAGUGCAAUAAUUUUUUAUUACCACAUGUAGUUCUUCAUGUUGAUGGGCUCAGCCGGGCAGUUCUUUCUUGAGUCCCUCAUACAGUUGUGGUCAGAUGGUAGCAGAGGCCAGAGCCACCUUCACUCUGCUCCUGUCACUGGGCUCGUCAGGCCUCUCUCUCUUCCCCCACAUGAUUAGUUUGGGCAUUCUCAGAGCUUGUUGAUCUUUUGGUAAUCAACCUGCUUCCCUUGUGACCAACUUUGUCCAACACGUGUAUUCUGAAAAACUUCAUGUGGAAGUUUCAAAUCCUCUUUGACCUAGCCCUAGAAGUCAUCUUCUCUCCUCUGUUUUUGUCAAAGCGGUCACCAGACUUGACAAUCUACUUCUUGGACUCCAAGAGUUGGAGAUGGAGAUUCCACCUCACAAUGGUGGAAUGUCUUGAACCUUCAAAGAUGACCACCUAAGAUGACAGUGGUCACCUCAAUACCAAGUUACCUCUGACACCUGCUACAUGACAAGCCUUAUGGUUAAAAUCAAGUAAAUUAUUUUAUAAUUACAUGCCGAAUUGGAUCAUACAUAUUAUAAUGGAUUAUUCAGAUUUUUAAAGCAUCUUAACUUCUCAAAGAUGAAAAUAGUCUAUAUUAUUGCUCAUCUUUUCCUCUGAGAAAGUUCUUUUCAUAGAUUCAUAACAAACGGUCCCAUGGGAACAGAAAGUUUUGAGGGUGUUUACUGUUUGUGCAAGAUGACUGGUUGGGUAAAGAAGUUCAAAGUUUAUUAUCUGCAGAACAAAUAAAGCCUGGGCAAAGGUUAUAUUUGGGAUCAGUUGGAUGUCCCAUUGGACUGUCUUACAAGCAAUUAUAAACAUGGAACAAGGAAGUGAAGAGAGACUUCUUGUUGACAACUAAAGACAACCCCUUCUCUUGUUGACAUCAGCCUCUUUGGGUGAGUUUAGAUGCCGCUGAUUUGUGAUUGCAACAUCAUGAAAGGGAAGGAGUUUGGGUUCCUGAAUAUCCACUUGGAAGAGAGCCUCCAAAGAGAGCUGCCAGACUUUCACUGGACAGUGACACGAGGGAGAAAUAAACUUAGUGGUGUGAGACCAUGGAGAUUGUCAUUAUAGCAACUGGCUACCUGCAUAGGUCCUGCACAUAGAGCCUACCUAGCGGUCCUACAUCAGACUGAUGGAGAAGAUGCUGCCCUGCUCAGGUGUUCUGGACAUUGAUAUGGUGGUGGUGGCUGGAUGGGACUUUGCAUUGUCCUCUGUGGGGUAAGCUGCAAGCAAAGGACUCUAAGAUGAAACUGUCACACGUGCACGAUGACAGCAGACAUUUCUGACAAUGGGUGUGAAUAUUGUUCUCAAAGUGAGGUCAUGCAUCUGUCUCUGGAGAAUUCUCUUAAUGAAUAAGUAGAAAUUUGAGGCACCGAAGGCAAAAAGAGUUGAACAGCCACCUUCCAUUGUAUCUUGGGAAAGUCAACUGAACUUCCCUGGAGUAAGAUUACCAGCAAGUAAAAAACUUUAUGUGGAAGUUCUAUAAGGAGAAGUCACUGGAAGGCGUUUUCAAGAGGAAUUAACGACCUGUGAAAUGUCACCGACAGCAACCAUGACUGCAUGAGAGCAGCGGGAAGAGAAGACAAAACCAGUGGCUCCGAAUCUCCCACCCAUCCCUGCGUGGCCUCAGUGUUGCUAAGUAGAGCAGAUCCUGCAUCUCUAAGAAUGCCACCUUAACUUCAUUCUCUUUUGUCACAUAAGUAAGGUGCAGUAUGCUUAAGGAGUUUGGGUUCUCCUUACCUCUUCUUUUCCUGACCAAAAAAAAAAAAAAAAAAAAAUACAGUAAGUCCCCUGCAUACAAAUCUUCAAGUUGUGAGCUUUCAAGGGCGAGAACAUGCACUCAUCAAUGUCAGGCAUGAGUGAAAUUGCAGCUUGCCCUCCGUCUCCCAUUGCUGAUUCUCCUUCAGCUCUACCGUCUCCCACCUCCUCUCUUCCAGUCAGUAACUCUUCUUGCCCCAUAUGCCAGCUGUUGUACUGUACUACUAUAACUUUUCAAGGUACUGUACUGUAAGGUUAAAAGUUUCCUUUAAUUUUUGUGUUUGUUUUUUAUGUAUUAUUCAUGUGAAAAAUAUUAUAAACCUAUUUCAGUACAGUCCUAUAUAGCUGAUUGCAUUAGUUGGGUACCUACGCUAAAUUUGUUGGACUUAUGAACAAAUUAGGCUUAUGAAUGAGCUCUUGGAAUGGAAUUCACUAUGUAGGGGAUUUAUUACAGAGCAAAUUCCACUACCUGCCCUUCAGUGGUACCUACUGUUUCCACUAACCAGAUGAACGCGAUUCAGCCACAUCUCCCAACGUUCCCCUACGUGAAAUCCCUGUGCUGGUAUCAUGGGGACAGCUAUGGAGCUGCACGGGCACACUCUCUCAGAGCCUGCAGUCUAAACACAGUGUGAGAAGUACUACUGAAGAGGUCCAAACUGUCAGGAAAGCAAGAGGUGAGACGCUCAGGGAGGUAAAAAGGAGUCCUGGACAUUUAGCGUGGAAUGCUCACCACUGUCUCUCAGAACAAUUUCUGGGAUGUCCUGCUUGUAGUCACCACGUCUUAGCUCCUCAGAGACAUUUACUGGGUAGUUGCUGAAAAGCAAUAACUAUAGGGCAAAUUUUUGUUGCCAUUUUCCCAAACCCAAAGUCUUUUUGAAGUUUUCCUUGAUACCAGGUUGGGACAAAAGGGUGGUUAUGUUUCUGUGUCCUGGGUCUCUCCUGAGAGUGCCUUGACCCACAUAAGACACGAGUGUGAAGUGAAGGAGAAGAGGGGUCUGGUCUUUAUGGAGUUGCUGGGUUCCAGUCCUCCUCUUAGGAGCUGGGAGUAGCUGUGUUCAUCUGCUUUCUGUUUCCCAGCUGACCCUUCCCCGCUCUUGGAUGCAGCAGAGGGCAGAGUCUGAGCUUGGGCCCCCUGCGGGGUUAUUGCCCGUGGAAAUGAUGUAAGAAAUCAUUCUGCUUUUUUUUCCCCACACAUCCAGGCUCUGAUGAUUGGGCAGAAAUAGAGUCGUCCAAAGGCCAAAUCAAAUGGAUGGAGCCAACGUGAGGAGUUAAGGUAGCAGAAUCUAUAUCCCAUGUUUUGAGGGAUUAUUUGCUUUAGCUAUUGAAUGAGGAUCUCGAAGUCAGGCCUUACUUCUGUGAUUAACAAAACCUUUGAGGAUAAUGAGGGGAAUCUGGAAAUGGAUUUAAGUUUCUCAAAGAAAAAGAGCUACUUUAUAAAUCCAAGGCAGUUACAUACAACCUCCUGGGUUCAAAAUUCCAGUGGGCUUACAUUGGCCAGAUUUAUGUGUGCCCGUGCCCAAUAAUGUUCCCCCUUGCCCUUUUAGGCUUCCAGAUCAUUAGGCUGAGAGAAGUAAGGACUUCCCUUGAGGAAAUACAGAGCUGUUAUUCCACUAUUCCCUCCACCCCACCGUUGACUCGGGGAAUCUCUGAGAAUCUCUGGAAGGGACUUCAAAAGUCACGUAGUCCAGCUGCCAGUAUAUUCCCUUGCUAAGCAGGCAAGUGGGAAUAGAAAGGAAAAGUGCAGUUAAUUCUCAAGCAUUUGGACGUAGAUUGUCCACAGACAGACAGUGAGAGAUUUGUGUGUUUGGAGACAGUGCUUGGGGUCUCUUUGUAUCUGUUCCUUCUCCAAGCUAAACAAUCACAGAUCAUUUCACUGGUCCUUAGAGGACUGCUUUCAAACUUCUGAAAUCGCAUAAAUUGAAGCCAUUUUCAUCUAACUAGGUUGAUGCUGCCUUCAUUUCCAUUCCAGAAACUUUUGGCUAUUCCCCAUUCAGAAGGGACUGACUGCAUUUGAAAUAGGAUGACAGAGGAAUUACUCUCACUGAGAUUACCCUUCAGCUACAUCCCAGAACUGAGAGACUCUGCUAACUGCUACUGCCAUAAUGACUAGCAAUCACGGCACAAUCACGGAAAUGAAUUAAAUUAUUAAUUUCAAUAGCACCCCAUGGUGCAUUUAUAAAUUCCACCAUCUGGGGAACAUAAAUAUGGAGGUCCACAUUCUAAACUUGGAGGCAUGGUGCUUAGUGCCAAGGGCUGUAUCUUUGAAGGCAGUAAAGAUUUUUCAAGAUACUAUAUGUAGAGCAGCAAGCUGUGCAUUUGAGAGAAGGAUCUGUCCCUGGGUCUCUAUUAGCUUUACUAUUUAUUUAAGGAUCUCUUCUCCUUUAUUUUUUAACCAGUUCAUAUCGAUAGAUGCAAUAUAUAAAAAUCUUGGUUUAGGAAAAGUACACGAUGGGAAAUAAAGUCAAACUCUUAUUUGAACUAUUUAUUUAUUCUCUCCCUUUUCUCUUUAUCCCAUUUCUUCCUCCCAGAGUCUCGUCUCGUACUGACUUGCUUCACUUAUGUAAAUCUCUGGUUAAUAAGUUCUUUCUACCUAGAUAGCUAUUCUUGGGUUUUGAAUGGGUUCAAAAAUCUCUCUAAAACUUUAAGAGCAUUGUUCCUGAAGCAGAGAGGAUAGAGGUCCUGGAGGAGUGUGUAACCUACUCGAAUCAAAGAGAUUUAACUUUCUUUCCUUACGUGGAACCAUUUGGCCAGAUGUUGGGGUUCCCUGAGCCUUCUCUGUUUGCCAUCUGUCUUGUCCCCAAGGGCUGGUGAGAGAGGGACACUUCUAAAGACCAUAUGUAAAUGACUUCCAUGGAGCCCUACGGGGGCUCCCUAGGCUACCUUCUUCCCUCUAUGGAUCACCAAUGCAAAGCCAAGCAACAGCCCAGGCCCCUGCCAUCGUGUUCUACAAUGUCCUAAUAUCCAAAACAGCUAGAUUUCUAGCCAAUGAGUUCCCUUAAGACCCACAGGAAAAAUACAUAGCUUCCUGCAGGAUAAAUGCUUCUAAAGCAUCAGGGUGUUGUGUAGCUCUUGACUUCCUUGUUCUCUGUAUCCAGGGCUUUAAUGCAAUUUGUGUGUUGACUAGCUGAUGAUGAAGAUGACUGUUGAGUACUCCUUCUAGAACUUCUACGUAUGCACAGCUAAUCAUACAGAGCUUAGUCAGCUCUGCAGGCCAGUAUGAUUUCUAAUUGAGACUGAGGGAAAACUCCAAAGGUCGCCUCGUCCCCUUUGCUGCCACCAACAAUUGAUGAUGCUCACUGGCCAUUCAAUGAACCAACUUUCAUAUAUAAGGUUAAAUGAACAUAUUGUGGGAGGGGCUAUUUUUAGCAACUGUGUUUUAGGUUGAUUCCUUUCAAUUCUCUGUAGAGCCAAACAUCAGGGUAACUUGAGAUCUGGUGAUCUAUAACUUUGGGAAGAGGUGGAUUGUACCUAAAUAGAAUUUCACUUCUUCAUUGUUUUAGAUGUCAUUCUCAUAACUUAGUCAAAUCAGCUUAUCAUUAGCCAUUUGACAACAAGAGAAUUAACUGAACCUGCAAUCGUGAUAGAUUAAAUGAAACUUCUGAUCUUCAUGGCAAAGUCCUUGCCAAUAGCUUCUGUUUCUGUCCCUGGAUGGUAAACAUAAGCGUUCAUCAAAUUUGAGGAGCUGAACCUCUAGGGACUCCCAUGUCCUGCAUUUAUUAAUGACAAUGAAGGACCCAAAAUCAGUGAUUUAUGCAAUUUAGCCACGGCUAUCCCCAACCUCUGUGGGAGUUAGUAGACUGGAAUAAUUACAGACUAAAUAGUGAUGAUAAGGAGGAAAUGUACUGUAGUUGGAGUUAGUGGGCUGAGAAAACAAAUGUUUCCGGUCUCAGGAGAAUCUGCUUGCUGUUAUAAAGGAGAAAAGUAGAAGCAAAGAGACCUUGUCCUGAUCUGUACGAUUUCAGUAGCUGGGAAAGGCCACAUAAAGUUAUCAUAAAAAGCAAGAGGUGAUAAACACAAAAGACCCUUUAGCAUCCUGCCCCCUGCUCAGCCUGCCUCCCAGCAGCGGGAAGACACACAGUCGGCACACUGGGUUUGAGAUGAAAAUCUGGAAUAGUCACUGUUUUGCCCCCAGAGCCAAUGCUGGUAAGACUGGAGGAACCAGUGUAACUUUGCCUGUAUUUGCUUCUGACUCAAACACCAGAGAAAACUCACACAAAGACGUGAGAAACUUCCUAUUCUGAGUUGAGGAGUUCCGUGUGAGCCUGUCACAGCAUUCGUUCUGGGAAAUCACAAGGCUUCUUUUCUCUUUGGGUAUCAGAAUAGCUCACCGUAAGCCACCAGCCGCUCUAUACUGACUGAAUCCCUCUGAGGCCCAGGUCAAGUGGCCUGCCCAAGGCCAUGACGGAGGAUCCAGGUAGACCACAAGCUCAGCAAGCAUGGCUUCCUGCCAGAAACAAUGCCUCUCCCCUACAGUCUCCUUGAGUCUCACUCCCUGGAUAGACGUGCUGUCUGACACUGCCCUGCAGUGAACAAAGGGAACAAAGGGAAAGAAAAAAAAAAAACCCAGCAUUUCUUUCUAAGAUGAAAGCAUAUGGUACCAUCAAGGGGGCUGGGUGGGAAGAAGGAUGCCUGGGAAGAUUCAAUAGUAUGUUAGUUAUACCUCAAGGGCAAAUAGUAUGAGAGAAGAAGAUGUUUUCUCAUUUGUUGGGCACAAUAGCCCUUCACCCCAGCAAGGGAGAGUGCCCGCCUGAGUGAGGACCGGCUCUAAACUAACUCAGCACUUGUGUUCAAGUAUCUUCACUUAGCCAGGUGACGCUCUUCCAGGUGAAUUUUUCCUUAUAGUAAGAUCUGAUGGCCAAUUUAACUGGCCAUGGAAAAGAGAAACAGUACAGUUCUAUAGAGAAUUAUGUAAGGAAAUCUAAAUAAAAUCCAGAAAAUUCACACAUUGAUCCAUUCAUGCAUAAGUCAGCAGCAUCAAAACAAGACUCAUCUGGCUUCCCAUACCCUCCCUUCUUCCAUUCAGAUGCUUGUCGAGUUUUUCAUGAGGGUAACCUAAUGAGGGGAGAAGGGGAUGGCACCCCACUCCAGUACUUUUGCCUAGAAAAUCCCACAGAUGGAGGAGCCUGGUAGGCUGCAGUCCAUGGGGUCGCGAAGAGUCGGACAUGACUGAGCAACUUAGCAGCAGCAGCAGCAACCAAAUGAGGAGAUGUGGAAAAGGCUGCUUUUUGCUGGAGGUUCUCUCUGGCUGCCACAGACCCCAUCCAGCUGCCCUCAGGCUCAGGCAGCAAGAUCCCCUCCCUGCACACCUAUAUAACCCAUUCAUGAACCUGUGAGGAAGACCUGAUCUUCUUUUCCCAAGUAUGCUCGUCGGGAGGCUCUCAGAAAGGAGAGGGACCCAGGUGUACUCAUACUUCUGAAUAUCUGACUGCAAGCCUGUCUCUAAUGUUCCUUUAGGGCUGUUUUCAAAGCUCCCAAGAAAUUAAUCACAAGAGGCUUCUACUCUAGAGUAUGCAGUUACAUGUGAAUUCCUCGGGGACUUGCCUGACAUUAUUGGCUAUUACUGGGUAUCACUGGACGUUGCUGGGAAUCACUGGAUAACCUAUGUGAUUAUCAGGUGACUCUCUGGUCCAAAGCCGGGGACCCCUCCCUCUCUCUGGGAACCAUGACUGCUGCUGCUGCUGCUGCUGCUAAGUCGCUCCAGUAGUGUCCGACUCUGUGCGACCCCAUAGACGGCAGCCCACCAGG